UUUUUUUAUUUUUUAAGGAUGUUUCUAUUAGGCAUUUUCCGCUCUCAAUAAUUCUAUAUACUCCAUGUUUCAAUGCGAAGAAAAGGAAGUCUUGUAUAAAUGCUAUAUUUCUUUGGGGAAAUAAGUAAUAAAGAAUUGUUUUAUAUUAUGAACUAAUGAGAGAAUGGAUGGCUUUGCUGCAAAAUUGGGGAAGUGUUCUUUCUAUAGGGCCGAGUUAUGGGGAGUCCUACAUAGCCUUCGUAUAGCGAGGGAGAAAGGAUUUCGUAGGAUAUGGCUGCAGGUGGACAAUAAAAUCGUGGUUCAGGCAAUUACCUCUAGUGAAUCGCAUCCAUGUGCGAAUUCUGAUUUACUAAACGCUAUUCAUGGACUGCUGCAACUCGACUGGGAGCCUGAAGGAGAAGUUUGCUUUCAUCUCUUAAAUGGCUGAAGAUACUUACUUCUGGUGCUAAAUCAUCAAGGCAACAUUCUGGACUUCUAGUUAGGUCAGGUGCAGUUGGUUAUCGCUAUGAGAUUGUUCUAAUCAAAUAUUCACUUCCCUUUGAGAAAGGUUUCUUCAUCGUAAUUCUUAGAUGCCAAUUGUUGGCCCAAAGGAAUGAUGGAUUGAUUUUAGUUGGAGUAGCAGGACCAUCUGGAGCUGGAAAGACUCUGUUCACUGAGAAGGUGCUCAAUUUUAUGCCCACCAUAGCUGUCAUAACAAUGGACCACCACUACAAAGAUUCUAACCAUAUUAUUGAUGGCUACUUUGAUGAUAUUGUACUGCAAUGAUUAAAGACUGGAGAGGGAUGCAUGGCAGAGCUCUGAUAAUUGUAGUGUUAUGAAACACACCCAACGUUGACUGAUUAUGACACGCUGCUUGAAAAUUACACACGGUUUAAAAUCAGGGAAACCUGUUCAAGUUCCAAUCUGGCUCUUGUAUAGGAUACAGGAAGAAAGACGAGA